GUUGUUGUUCCGAUUCCAGAAGAGCUAUGGACUUUGACCUUCUUAAACUAUCUGAAUUUGGGCUACAAUUUCUUGACAGGCUCUCUUUCUCCAUCAAUUGGAAACCUUAUUAACAUGAAAUCCUUGGCCUUAAGCGCAAAUGAACUGUCAGGAGAGGUACCAAAGGAAUUGGGACUACUUACUGACCUAUCUUUUUUG